UACGAAGGGUGCAAGCGUUACUCGGAAUUACUGGGCGUAAAGCGUGCGUAGGUGGUUUGUUAAGUCUGUUGUGAAAGCCCCGGGCUCAACCUGGGAAUGGCAAUGGAUACUGGCAAGCUAGAGUGCGGUAGAGGGUAGUGGAAUUCCCGGUGUAGCGGUGAAAUGCGUAGAGAUCGGGAGGAACACCAGUGGCGAAGGCGGCUACCUGGACCAGCACUGACACUGAGGCACGAAGGCCAGGGGAGCAACGGG
rnacentral:rRNA from 1 species